AUGGCCAAUGGAAAAUUAAUACCCUGCACUCAAGAACUGUUGAAUGGUAAGUGGACUUGUGGGGGUCAUAAAUUUGUUAGUAAUUUCAAGGUUUUCCCCUUGGGUUACUAUGAUGGUAUUCUGGGCAUUGAUUGGCUAGCUGCUCACAGCCCUAUGCAAGUUGACUGGGCUGCUCACUUGCUUUCUUUUGAGCUUGAUAACACCACAGUUACUCUGCUUGGGGAAGAUGUUGUUCCACCAUUGUGUGCAUUGCUUUAUUUUGCUUUCUUUUGUGUGCAUUGCUAUAAAAAAAGGAUCCGAUAA
rnacentral:rRNA from 1 species